rnacentral:rRNA from 1 species
GACGAACGCUGGCGGCGUGCUUAACACAUGCGAGUCGAACGGAAAGGCCCGGGUUUUCUUGUGUGGUUGAGUUGCGAACGGGUGAGUAACGCGUGGGUAACCUGCCCUUUAGUUGGGGAUAACUAUUGGAAAUUGUGGCUAAUACCGCAUAAUAGCUCCUGCUGCAUGGUGUUUGGUUGAAAGUUGCGACGGUUUGGGAUGGACUUGGGGCUGCGCAGCUUGUUGGUGGGGGAGGGGUUUACCAAGGCUUGGGCGGGGAGCCGUCCUGAGAGGGUGACCGGCCACAUUGGGACUGAGAUAGGGCCCAGACUCAUACGGGAGGCAGCAGUGGGGAAUAGUCCACAAUGGGCGGAAGCAUGAUGCAGGAACGCCGCGUGCGGGAUGACGGUCGUCGGGUUGUAAACCGCUUUAGCCUGUGACGAAGAGUGAGUGACGGUAAUGGGUAAAGAAGCACCGGCUAACUACGUG